AUUGAAAAUGAAAAAUAAAAAAUAAAAAAUCAAAGUUAUCUUGAGCGGCAACUAAAACCUCGCAACUGAGGGUUUGGCGACAGCAGUAGCACGGAGCCAAGCUCUCCAAUGGCACUAUCCACUUCUCUUUUCUCUUCCUCUCUUUCUUCUUCUCUUCAUUCAUCUUCGCUUCUAUGUUUUCCGAAAACCCUCUCCCCUUCCUUCACGUCUACGCUAGGCAAUUCAACCCUUCACGCCAAUUUCGUUGUUCGCUCCUCUUAUUCCCAAAUGGGCUCUUCCCCUGAUCCAAUCGAAUUCAGGAAGCCCAUUCCGUCCAGGGCUCACUUGGAGCUCUCGAUGAAUGAAAAUAACAAGCCAUCGUAUAAAUGGCGAAGGGUUUUGCUCAAAGUCAGCGGAGAAGCACUUGCAGGAGAUAAUUCUCAGAACAUUGACCCAAAGAUAACCAUGGCCAUUGCAAGGGAAGUGGCAGCAGUAACUCGCCUUGGCAUUGAGGUUGCACUAGUAGUUGGUGGAGGUAACAUCUUCCGUGGAUCGGCCUGGGCUGGAAGUAGUGGACUAGACCGCUCGUCUGCUGAUUAUAUUGGGAUGUUGGCCACUGUCAUGAAUGCUAUAUUUCUUCAAGCAACAAUGGAGAGUAUUGGCAUUCCUACUCGGGUGCAGACUGCAUUUCGUAUGUCUGAGGUUGCAGAACCAUAUAUACGCAGAAGGGCUGUGAGGCAUUUGGAAAAAGGAAGGGUUGUUAUUUUUGCUGCCGGAACUGGAAAUCCAUUUUUUACCACAGACACUGCUGCAGCACUCCGAUGUGCAGAGAUUAAUGCAGAGGUUGUACUCAAAGCAACAAACGUUGACGGAGUUUAUGACGACGACCCAAAGCGUAAUCCACAAGCACGUCUUCAUGACACACUAACAUAUCAAGAGGUAACUUCAAGAGAUCUGUCAGUGAUGGACAUGACUGCCAUAACUUUAUGCCAGGAAAAUAAUAUUCCAGUUGUUGUCUUCAAUUUAAAUAAACCUGGCAACAUUGAGAAAGCUAUUAAAGGCGAGCGAGUUGGCACUUUGAUUGGGGCAAACUGGAAUUCUACCGUAUACGAACAUGAAAAUAUAUGAAGUCUAAUUACCAAUUGAUUCUUUCUCGUGUGAUUCCUAUACAACCUUCCUGGUGAGGAUGCCAAAAAUGUCAGCUCUCCAAUUGUCACCAAGUACGAAUUGCAUUUCAUCAUUGGUUCAAAACAAACGUACACUUUUGCUAUCCUCCUUUCUGAAAUGUGAUUCAGAGGAAGUGGAAUUCGGGUGAUACUGAUUUUUGUCACCCUCUUUCCAUUUUCAUCUAAAGUACUGAACUAUCUGGCUAGGACCCUUUGUGCUGAAAACCAUUGUUAUGGAAACACAAUCAGGAAAUAUGUGUGUAUAUAUAGAAGAAAGAAGAAACGAAAAUUAAUUAGCAUAUUCAUGUUUGAAAUUUUCGUUGCCUUAGGUUACAUAUCCUUGUACAAAAAAUAUAUCAUCCAGCUUUACUGUUUUCAUUUCUAAUUUAUCUUUCUCUGAUUCUGGGAA